GGGGACAUUUAGGCUGGAAGGUGACAAACUGAGAGACUUCAACACACAAAGGACUUUAAGGAUAAGAAAGAUGGAAGAAACAUGAGAAUUAAUCUUCCUUGAGAUGGAAAUUUUACGGUUUUGAAAAACAUGACAGAAAUGGAGUUGUGACUGCUUUCUAUAUUUGCUACGCAUUUAAUACAUGUACAUCCUUAUCAAAACAUUGAAAUUGUCAAUGUGAAAAGUAUUUUUAAAAUAAAAUAUGUCAAACUUUA